GCCGAAAUAGCUUCCAGUUGGGAGAGCGUUAGACUGAAGAUCUAAAAGGUCCCUGGUUCAAUCGAGUUUCGGCA
rnacentral:tRNA from 1 species